rnacentral:rRNA from 1 species
UACAGAGGGCUCAAGCGUUGUUCGGAUUCAUUGGGCGUAAAGGGUGCGUAGGUGGCGAGGUAAGUUGGAUGUGAAAUCCCGGGGCUCAACCCCGGAACUGCAUUCAAUACUGCCUUGCUAGAGUACUGGAGAGGAGAUUGGAAUUUACGGUGUAGCAGUGAAAUGCGUAGAUAUCGUAAGGAAGACCAGUGGCGAAGGCGGAUCUCUGGACAGUUACUGACACUGAGGCACGAAGGUCAGGGGAGCAAACGGG